UCACUGGACGUCAAGUGUAGAGGAAUGGCUACACCACACGAAGCAAGGUGACAACUUAGUGCAUCGCAUAAACCUGAAUUUGCCAUUUUCCCAACCUGAAAGCAAGGGUGGCCAGGCCACCCAGGGCAAUGGUGAAUGGUGGGUGAGAGGCAGAGCCCCUCUCCAAUAAACAACCUGGACUGUUUAUUGGGUUUUUGACCAACAAGACCUCAGGGAAAUUCCGGGAGCCUGAGGUUGGCAGAGACACAUAGAGGGGUGUGCCCUGUUGUCACUGACCAAUGGCAGAUGUGCCCUUACUCUGAACGCCAUCAAGAACACCUCUGUAAUAAUUUUCCUGUCCUCAUUAAGUUUGAGUUUGCAAGGAGACUCUUGCAAGCCAAGUUAAAUAUUCUGAGGCUUUAUGUCUGAGAUUCAGGUG
rnacentral:lncRNA from 10 species